AGGCUUCAUACAUGCAAGUCGAGGGGCAGCAUAAAUUACUUGUAAUUUGAUGGCGACCGGCGAACGGGUGCGUAACGCGUAUGCAACUUACCUUUUACUAGAGAAUAGCCAAGAGAAAUUUUGAUUAAUGCUCUAUACACUUAUUAAUUCUCAUGAAUCUAUAAGAAAAGCUCCGGCGGUAAAAGAUGGGCAUGCGUCCUAUUAGCUUGUAGGUGAGGUAAUGGCUCACCUAAGCUCCGAUAGGUAGGGGUCCUGAGAGGGAGAUCCCCCACACUGGUACUGAGACACGGACCAGACUUCUACGGAAGGCAGCAGUAAGGAAUAUUGGACAAUGGAGGCAACUCUGAUCCAGCCAUGCCGCGUGAAGGAAGACGGCCUUAUGGGUUGUAAACUUCUUUUAUACAGGAAGAAACCUUUCCACGUGUGGAAAGCUGACGGUACUGUAAGAAUAAGGAUCGGCUAACUCCGUGCCAGCAGCCGCGGUAAUACGGAGGAUCCAAGCGUUAUCCGGAAUUAUUGGGUUUAAAGGGUCCGCAGGCUGUUUGUUAAGUCAGAGGUGAAAUCCUACCGCUCAACGGUAGAACUGCCUUUGAUACUGGCAAACUUGAGUUAUUGUGAAGUAGUUAGAAUGUGUAGUGUAGCGGUGAAAUGCAUAGAUAUUACACAGAAUACCGAUUGCGAAAGCAGAUUACUAACAAUAUACUGACGCUGAGGGACGAAAGCGUGGGUAGCGAACAGGAUUAGAUACCCUGGUAGUCCACGCCGUAAACGAUGGUCACUAGCUGUUUGAUGUACAUUGGUACAUUGAGUGGCUAAGCGAAAGUGAUAAGUGACCCACCUGGGG
rnacentral:rRNA from 1 species